rnacentral:tRNA from 1 species
GACUUAAAAUCCGUCGANUUUUAAAAUCGUGAGGGUUCAAGUCCCUCUAUCCCCAAAAAAUAUUUAACCUAUCCGC